AAUCAACGCUGGCGGCGUGCCUCAGACAUGCAAGUCGAACGCGAAAGGCUCCUUCGGGAGCCCGGUAGAGUGGCGCACGGGUGAGUAACACGUGGGUAAUUUACCUUCGGGUGGGGAAUAACAGCCGGAAACGGCUGCUAAUACCGCAUAAUGCAGCGGCACCACAUGGUGACAGUUGUUAAAGUGGGGAGUCGCAAGACCUCACGCCUGAGAGAAGCCCGCGGCGGAUUAGCAGUUGGCGGGGUAAUGGCCCACCAAGGCGUCGAUCCGUAGCCGGCCUGAGAGGGGCGGUCGGCCACACUGACACUGAAUAACGGGUCAGACUCCUACGGGAGGCAGCAGUCGGGAAUUUUGGGCAAUGGGCGCAAGCCUGACCCAGCAACGCCGCGUGAAGGAUG
rnacentral:rRNA from 1 species